GGGACAGUAGCUCAAUGGUAGAGCUCCGGCUUCGUACGCGGGAAGACCUGGGUUCGAUUCCCGGCUGCUUUC
rnacentral:tRNA from 1 species